rnacentral:rRNA from 1 species
GUGCCAGCAGCCGCGGUAAUACGUAGGGUGCGAGCGUUAAUCGGAAUUACUGGGCGUAAAGCGUGCGCAGGCGGUUUUGUAAGACAGAGGUGAAAUCCCCGGGCUCAACCUGGGAACUGCCUUUGUGACUGCAAGGCUAGAGUACGGCAGAGGGGGAUGGAAUUCCGCGCGUAGCAGUGAAAUGCGUAGAUAUGCGGAGGAACACCGAUGGCGAAGGCAGUCCCCUGGGCCUGUACUGACGCUCAUGCACGAAAGCGUGGGGAGCAAACAGGAUUAGAUACCCUGGUAGUCCACGCCCUAAACGAUGUCAACUGGUUGUUGGGAAAUUACUUUCUCAGUAACGAAGCUAACGCGUGAAGUUGACCGCCUGGGGAGUACGGCCGCAAGGUUGAAACUCAAAGAAAUUGGCGG